GACGGAGCUGGGAUGGCCCCGCGCGGCGCGGCGGCAGGGCGGGGAGCGGCGGCGGCAAGGCCCUCGGCUCGGCUGCGCAGUUGGUGGCAGCGUGGUAUCUUUCUCCAUGCUGCCGGACUGACAAUCCUGCGGUGUGUUGGAGGAUGAGCUAAGACUGCCGGCGGUGCCUCGAGCAUCACUCCGUAGCUAGAACUGUUUUUUUUUUCGCACCUUGUUCUUAUGAAAUGCUACUCUACCUUGUGUUGUCACUUGUCAAUGUGGUGUGACAAAUCUUUGGUUUGUACUUGAAUAUGGAUUCUGAAUUGUGACAAUUUGAGGUCUGUUCAUUAUCAUCAGGCUGUGAUUACCAUGCACCAAAAAGGUUUCUUUCUC